rnacentral:rRNA from 1 species
ACACGACUACAUUAGAUACCCCUGUAGUCCUAGCCGUAAACGAUACUCGCUAGGUGUCGGCCACGGUGCGACCGUUGUCGGUGCCGUAGGGAAGCCGUGAAGCGAGCCACCUGGGAAGUACGGCCGCAAGGCUGAAACUUAAAGGAAUUGGCGGGGAGCACCACAACGGGUGGAGCUUGCGGUUUAAUUGGAUUCAACGCCGGAAAUCUUACCGGGACCGACAGCAACAUGAAGGCCAAGCUGAAGACUUUGCCGGAUUAGCUG